rnacentral:rRNA from 1 species
AACGGGGAUUAUUUCAUUGAAGCUUCGGCAGAUUUGGUUUAAUCCUAGUGGCGGACGGGUGAGUAACGCGUGGGUAACCUGCCUUAUACAGGGGGAUAACAGUCAGAAAUGGCUGCUAAUACCGCAUAAGCGCACAGGGCCGCAUGGCCCGGUGUGAAAAACUGAGGUGGUAUAAGAUGGACCCGCGUUGGAUUAGCCAGUUGGCAGGGUAACGGCCUACCAAAGCGACGAUCCAUAGCCGGCCUGAGAGGGUGAACGGCCACAUUGGGACUGAGACACGGCCCAGACUCCUACGGGAGGCAGCAGUGGGGAAUAUUGCACAAUGGGGGAAACCCUGAUGCAGCGACGCCGCGUGAAGGAAGAAGUAUCUCGGUAUGUAAACUUCUAUCAGCAGGGAAGAAAAUGACGGUACCUGACUAAGAAGCCCCGGCUAACUACGUGCCAGCAGCCGCGGUAAUACGUAGGGGGCAAGCGUUAUCCGGAUUUACUGGGUGUAAAGGGAGCGUAGACGGCAUAACAAGUCUGAUGUGAAAGGCUGGGGCUUAACCCCGGGACUGCAUUGGAAACUGUUAAGCUUGAGUGCCGGAGGGGUAAGCGGAAUUCCUAGUGUAGCGGUGAAAUGCGUAGAUAUUAGGAGGAACACCAGUGGCGAAGGCGGCUUACUG